AUUGUUCUGUAUUAACAAUUGACAUGUAAAAGUUUUAUGGUUGAAAUUGUUGUUGCAUACAAAGUUUUAUGGUUGAAAUAAUUGUUGCAUUUUUGUUUGGCCAUUUUAAAUGUAUAUGGUAUUGAUUCCUUAAUAAAUUAAAAUAGCAAUAGCCUUUUACAUUUGUGAUUCAAGACAUUACUAGAAAUCUGAAAUUUUCUAUUCAUGCAUCCUUUUUCCAUAUUUUGUUUCUUUUUCUUUUUCCCUUCAUUUUUAGUAUAUGGAUCUGUUUCUGGUAUUUGUG
rnacentral:misc_RNA from 1 species